rnacentral:lncRNA from 1 species
CGCUGAAGCACAAUUGACAAUCAAUCCAAAUCAACCACAAUAACAUAAAACAUCAACAAUCAAUCCAAAUCAACCACAAUAUCACAAGCAAAAAUAAUAAAAUCAAUACACAUAAUUUUUACGUGGAAAACCCCUUUCAAGCAAAGGGUCCACGAGACUUGAAAGUCCACAAAAAUUUCCACUAUAAUCAAAGUCUUGCUACAAUAUCACAAUCAAGCCACAAUAAAGAAUAUACAACUCAAACAAGGCUAUCAACAAAUACUUUCAAGCAAACUUUAAGAGAAAAAAUUGAGAAUAUGACCAAGAGGGGCUGACUUUGAAAACUAAAAACUCAAAGCUAUUGCAUAGAAAAUCCCACUUUACACAAUUGAGAUCCCCAAGUCUACUAACCAGUAAGAAUUAUCAUCCUUUUAUCCUCUUUGAUAUCACAUAUUAAAAGAAAAACCAUGAUUAUUCCCUUAUUACUAGAUAAGUCAAAUGGAAAGUUAGAAAAAUAAAUUAUUUCUUUCCAAAAGAAUAUUAAUUUAAAUGUCUUUUAUAUUUUGACGAAAAUUAAUUAAUAUAAUUGUUUAUAUUAAUAAAUUCGGUAAAAUAUAUACAAUUAAUAUCUUGUAUAAAUCAAAUUCAUAUAUUCAUUAUAUUCUUUCCAAAAGAAUAUUAAUUUUAAUGUCUUUUAUAUUUUUACCAAAAUUAAUUAAUUAUUUAUAUUUGUUGUAGGCCAAUUUUGGCCCGUUUACAAAAUACCCAGGCCCAUUAAACCAUUUAACCCAUCCUCAAACCCAAAACCUAAAAUUAACCUAGCCCAACAUCCAAGCCUAAUCCCAAAACCCUAAACUCCCACUUGCCUCUUCCCACUCUCCCAUGCUGCCUGCCACCAGCACCACUCCCACUCUCCCAUGCUGUCUGCCACCAGCACCAUCACACACCCCACCGUCCAUGCCCAUGCCCUGAAAACAAGCAAAAAAGAAGCAAGAAUAGAAAAUAAUAAUAAAGUAUGUAAAAAUUAGGCCAUAUAAAAGCCACCCAAACAACAAACGAAAAAGGAGGAGGAUGUACAAAAAGUUUGUAUCAAAAACAAAAGAAAAAAGAAAAGCUUAGAAGGUGAACUUCAAUUUUUUUCCUCUGUUAUCUCAAUCUUUCUGUUUAUCUUUGCUUUGUUUUAUUUUUUUUUUCAUUAACUUACUUUAAAACGAAAAAGAAUCAAGGAAGAAAAGAGUCUUACCGGAUCUACCCCGUGGCCGCUCCCCUCUCCGUUCGGCACGGUGAACCGCCGGCGAUGAUGGGUGUUGAAACCUUAACUGAAGAAAGGAGGAAGAGAUAAAAAGGGGGGUUUGAGAGCAGUUUUUCAGAAAAAAAUAUAUAAAGGUUAAAUGGUUUUAAAAUAAAAAAUUGAAAAGUCAAAAGGAAACGGCGCCACUAACUAUGAUUUGUAUGU